rnacentral:rRNA from 1 species
GUCUGACGCAGCGACGCCGCGUGGAGGAUGAAGGUUUUCGGAUCGUAAACUCCUGUCAAGAGGGAAGAAACCUAUUAUGAAUAAUACUCAUAGUAAUUGACGGUACCUCUAGAGGAAGCACCGGCUAAUUCAGUGCCAGCAGCCGCGGUAAUACUGAAGGUGCAAGCGUUAAUCGGAAUCACUGGGCGUAAAGCGCUCGUAGGUGGCUUUGUAAGUCAGGUGUGAAAGCCCACGGCUCAACCGUGGAAUUGCACUUGAUACUGCAUCGCUAGAGUAUAGGAGAGGGAAGUGGAAUUUCUGGUGUAGGAGUGAAAUCCGUAGAGAUCAGAAGGAACACCCGUGGCGAAGGCGACUUCCUGGACUAUUACUGACACUGAGGAGCGAAAGCGUGGGGAGCAAACAGGAUUAGAUACCCUGGUAG